rnacentral:lncRNA from 1 species
GUUCAGGCCAUUAAGUUUAUUUAGAAAGCAAUUUCAGAACUGUUAGAACAAAAUUGGGAAAAUAUACUGACAAAAGUUUAAGAAUGUAAGCCCUGAAAGACAGAUUAAGUCACUAAAAAAACAACCUCUUCAGGCCUUUAUAUUGGCUAAGGUUGUUGUCUUCCACAGCAGCCCUGGCAUGGCAUCCAGUUCUAGAUACUGUGGUUUAAAUGAAUGUAAAUUGAAUACAGUUGAAAUGUCUUCCAUAUGAUUCUGCACAUCCUUGCAGCCUAGGAGAAAGCCAGCAAGGAGGGGACCAAAGGGAGGCAGGAGCAGGAGCAGUGGAAGGUGGUAAGAGGAUGUGAGGUGAUGGCAGACCCCAAGUGAGAGGUACCCCCACGCAGACUGGAGCAAUUACUGGUGCUAUGUGUAGGCAUCUCCCAACAGGCCUGGGUUGAGGAGAUUGUCCAGCACAGUGCAUUCGAGCAAGUGCCAGGAGCCACAGUCCUGUUUCCCGAUGGAGCUGUGGUCUGCUCACUACAUCAGCUCCUUGUACUGAGAACUAUGGUGGCCAUGUCACAACAGACAGCAAAUCAGUAGUGGCCACAUCACAGUGGGGUCUCUGACAUGGAUGGGACAGUAUAAAAAGGGCUGUGGUCUAGAGCAGGACCUGGUUUGGGAGGCAACCCAAAACAUACGUUGGUCUUUUCCCUCCUCAGUGUCUUGCUGGAGAUUUUGAAAACCUUACAUGAAACAGCAUUGAAUCAAGGAAAAAGAAAGGUGUAUGGUACCUGCCUGCAGACUGCAAAAGCCUUACAGAGUCCAAAAUUAGCAGUUCUAUGUGUAGUUGAGAGACAUUCUGUAAUCAGAAGAGGAAAGGUGGUGGAGGAGGAAAGCCAUUGCAGGAAUUGCAGCUCCUGGUGUAGCUGUGGUCACAGGGCCUUUCACAGAGACACAGAGAAAGUGAGGAAUCAGUCCUUCUCUCCCUGCACUUCUAGCAGUCAUGGGCACUGGAGAGCACAGCGACAUGUAACACCUAUAGUAGAACAUGAGAAAUAA